rnacentral:rRNA from 1 species
AACGAACGCUGGCGGCAGGCUUAACACAUGCAAGUCGAACGCAUCCUUCGGGGUGAGUGGCAGACGGGUGAGUAACGCGUGGGAACGUGCCCUUCAGUUCGGGAUAACCCAGGGAAACUUGGGCUAAUACCGGAUACGUGCGAGAGCAGAAAGAUUUAUCGCUGAAGGAUCGGCCCGCGUCUGAUUAGCUAGUUGGUGGGGUAAUGGCCCACCAAGGCGACGAUCAGUAGCUGGUCUGAGAGGAUGAUCAGCCACAUUGGGACUGAGACACGGCCCAAACUCCUACGGGAGGCAGCAGCGGGGAAUAUUGGACAAUGGGCGCAAGCCUGAUCCGGCCAUGCCGCGUGAGUGAUGAAGGCCUUAGGGUUGUAAAGCUCUUUCGUCCGGGACGAUAAUGACGGUACCGGAAGAAGAAGCCCCGGCUAACUUCGUGCCAGCAGCCGCAGUAA